CUCACUCCCAUCUUCUUCCCCAACCUCAACCUGCCCCCCUUCCCCGCCUCACAUCACCCAAAGAUCUCCCAAAAUCUCCCGACUUCUCGCCUCCGGCGAUUCCGUCUCCUCGCCACUCCCUCCCGCGCGCGGCAUCGGCUCGGAUCCGCCCGCCGCCAGCAGCGGCGGCAGCCCCCCUGUGCCGCCAUUCCCCCCGGCCGCGUCGUCCGGUUGUUGGCGUCGGUUGCUCCGUUCCCGCCCGUUCCUGCUGUUACCGGAUCUCGCGAGGAACCCAGCUGACAUGGGCGAGGUCUGGGCGGGGUUGGACGCCUAGGGCGCCGGCGCCACUCGCCAUUUGAUUCGAUUCCAAGGAGGAGGGGACGCGCCAUGCGCCGCUCUUGCUCCUCGGAUUGAUAUUUUGGCUCCUGCCUGCUGCCUCCCCGACGAGAAUUCUCCCGAUUCCCCCUCGCCCUUUUGUCCUCUCUGAAGCCCGGAUCGAAAGAUCCAAUUCGCGGGGGCAUUCCUCUCAACCGAUUCCGGAGGGACUGUCCCUGUCAAUCGCUCUCAAUCUCUGCCCUCGUUAAAAAUCCUCUCUUGUUCCUCUCCCGCACCAAGAUCCAAUCCCCCUCCACCCGCUCGCAUUCCGCAGCUGCCGGAGAUGACGCCGUCGGUCACGACGCACGCCUCGCCGCUACUGCUCUCCCUGCUCCUGCUCGUCUCCAUCCCGACCGUCUUCCUCCUCGUGCCGCGCCUCAUCCCGCCCAAGACGCUCCCGGCCAUCCCGGACGCGGACGAGUCCGACGACCUGGCCCUCUUCCGCCGGGCCAUCCUCUCCUCCUCCACCUCCGCCGCCAAGCCGGCGACCAGCUCCUUCUUCCACCGCCGGCCCACGCCCAAGGUCGCGUUCCUCUUCCUCACCAACUCCGACAUCGUCUUCUCGCCGCUCUGGGAGAAGUACUUCCGCGGGCACCGCCAGCUCUUCAACAUCUACGUGCACGCCGACCCCUCCUCCGUCCUCGACCUGCCGCUGACGCCCACCUUCCGCGGCCGCUUCGUGCCGGCCAAGGCCACGCAGCGCGCCUCCCCCACGCUCAUCUCCGCCGCGCGCCGCCUCCUCGCCACCGCCCUCCUCGACGACCCCUCCAACCAGUUCUUCGCGCUGCUCUCGCAGUCAUGCAUCCCGCUCCACCCCUUCCCCACCAUGUACAACGCACUCCUCUCCGACAAUGCUGGCCCCCACGGCCGCCACCGCAGCUUCAUAGAGAUCAAGGACAAGGACUGGGUGCUCCAUGAUAGGUACUAUGCCCGCGGCGAUGAGGUCAUGCUGCCAGAGGUGCCGUACGACCGGUUCCGUUCCGGGUCGCAGUUCUUCGUGCUCACCAGGAGGCAUGCCAUCCUGGUUGUCAGGGACAUGAGGCUCUGGAAGAAGUUUAAGUUGCCCUGUUUGAUCGAGCGCAAGGACUCGUGCUAUCCGGAGGAGCACUACUUCCCGACGUUGCUCGACAUGCAGGACCCCGACGGCUGCACCAAGUAUAGCCUCACGAGGGUCAACUGGACAGAUCAAGUCGAGGGCCACCCGCACACCUAUCAACCUGGGGAGGUGUCCGCAAGACUCAUCAGGGAGCUCAGGAAGUCCAAUGCCACUUACUCCUACAUGUUUGCCCGGAAGUUCGCCCCUGAGUGCCUUGAGCCGCUCAUGCAGAUCGCGGACUCCGUCAUCCUACGUGACUAGGCCAGCAGCACCCGCCAUUUUUUGGGGGUGUCGGAUACGCUGAGAUGAUGAGGGUUGUGAUGUGAUGAACAAGCGCAAGCUGGUCCAUCUAUACCCUCCAGAUCUUUUUGAGGAACAAACUUGUCCCAUCCUUGCUCUUCUCUUCCGUGCUUCAAAGAUUUUCCGGUAAUAGAUGCUGCUGGUCGGAGAGUAUGGUAUGGCCACGGAUUGUCGCUAUGUGAGUAUGCUGUUUGAACGAGACCACUUCUUGCCAAGCAAUAGGUCAGUAGUUAGCAUGAUCAUCCUAUGUAUUACAUGGACC